UACGAAGGGGGCUAGCGUUGCUCGGAAUCACUGGGCGUAAAGGGUGCGUAGGCGGGUCUUUUAAGUCAGGGGUGAAAUCCUGGAGCUCAACUCCAGAACUGCCUUUGAUACUGAAGAUCUUGAGUUCGGGAGAGGUGAGUGGAACUGCGAGUGUAGAGGUGAAAUUCGUAGAUAUUAGGAAGAACACCAGUGGCGAAGGCGGCUUACUGGUCCGGAACUGACGCUGAGGUGCGAAAGCGUGGGGAGCAAACAGG
rnacentral:rRNA from 1 species